GAUGAACGCUGGCGGCGUGCCUAAUACAUGCAAGUCGAGCGAACGGACGAGAAGCUUGCUUCUCUGAUGUUAGCGGCGGACGGGUGAGUAACACGUGGAUAACCUACCUAUAAGACUGGGAUAACUUCGGGAAACCGGAGCUAAUACCGGAUGAUAUUUUGAACCGCAUGGUUCAAAAGUGAAAGACAGUCUUGCUGUCACUUAUAGAUGGAUCCGCGCUGCAUUAGCUAGUUGGUAAGGUAACGGCUUACCAAGGCAACGAUGCAUAGCCGACCUGAGAGGGUGAUCGGCCACACGGGAACUGAGACACGGUCCAGACUCCUACGGUAGGCAGCAGUAGAGAAUCUUCCGCAAUGGGCGAAAGCCUGACGGAGCAACGCCGCGUGAGUGAUGAAGGUCUUCGGAUCGUAAAACUCUGUUAUUAGGGAAGAACAUAUGUGUAAGUAACUGUGCACAUCUUGACGGUACCUAAUCAGAAAGCCACGGCUAACUACGUG
rnacentral:rRNA from 1 species